AGCCUUUAGCCAAACAAGUAUUAAAGGUCCCGCCUGCCCCAGUGAAAUUUUUUAACGGCCGCGGUAUUCUAACCGUGCAAAGGUAGCGUAAUCACNUGUCUUCUAAAUAAAGACUAGUAUGAACGGCUAAAUGAGGACAACCCUGUCUCCUGCGGCCAAUCAGUGAAACUGAUCUUCCAGUACAAAAGCUGGAAUAAAAUCAUAAGACGAGAAGACCCUGUGGAGCUUCAAACCAAAUACUACUAAUAAGCUUAGUAAGAGGUUUUAAGUUGGGGCGACUUCGGAACAAAACACAACUUCCAAGCACAGAGACACAACCUCUCUUUCAGGCCAACAUGCCUAAAAUAUAUAAACGACCCAGUCAUACUGACCAACGAACCAAGUUACCCCAGGGAUAACAGCGCCAUCUUCUUCAAGAGUCCAUAUCGACAAGAAGGUUUACGACCUCGAUGUUGGAUCAGGACACCCAAAUGGUGCAGCCGCUAUU
rnacentral:rRNA from 1 species